UGGAACAACUGAAAUAAAAAAAAUCUAGCGUGUCAGUAGAUGAAAUAUUAAAUAAAACAAUGAUUUUAAGAUAAAAACUGAUAUAAAGAAUUAAAUAAAACUGUAAUGGAAAAGGAAAUAAAUAUAUAAGAAAGGAAAAAUAAAUAUAUAAAAAGAGCAAGGAAACAUUGAUGCUCCAACACAGAGCAAAUGCCAGGCCUAGUAAAACGAAUCCUGAUCCUAGAUUAACAACUGAUUUAAAACUGAUAAAAGAAGCAGUGAAAUAAAGAAUACAAUUAAUGUUUUAUAAAACUCUGGGGGAAAAGAAAUGUCAAGGCAGGACAAACAUUUCUGGAUCAAGCUUAAAACCUGCCCUUUGGUUUUCAGCAGUCUUUGAGCGGAGGCUGAAGGAGCAUAUCGUUUGGGAGCAGAAGUCUUUCCUCUUCGGCACACACAUGCUGCGUUUGCAAUGCCCAUCACUGCAGAUUUGAGGCAUCUGUGGGACCUACUUCUGUCUGAGCUGCUGUGGAUCCCCCACCCCUAGCCCCAGGCUCUACUCCCCCACCUGCGGGAUGUGGCCUUGUGGCCCCACACACCACAGCCCUCUCUCCCUGCCACAGCCAGCUGGGGUUCCUGGUGAUGCGAUUUUUUUACCCACUGCCCAAAAUCACAUUGCCAGGGAUUUCCAACCGGCUGCGAGCCCCAGCGCCAAGGAGACACCCCUGCACCCUCCCACCCACCCACUGUG